rnacentral:ribozyme from 1 species
GUUUUUUUUUUUUUUUUUUUUUCCUUUUUCUCCCCCUUCUUAUCUGUACAUUUCGU